rnacentral:rRNA from 1 species
GAUCAUGGCUCAGGAUGAACGCUAGCUACAGGCUUAACACAUGCAAGUCGAGGGGAAACGACAUCGAAAGCUUGCUUUUGAUGGGCGUCGACCGGCGCACGGGUGAGUAACGCGUAUCCAACCUGCCCACCACUUGGGGAUAACCUUGCGAAAGUAAGACUAAUACCCAAUGACAUCCCACGAAGACAUCUGAAUGGGAUUAAAGAUUUAUCGGCGAUGGAUGGGGAUGCGU